GGUGGAAUAACUGAGUCAAGUGGUGUUUCCAUUCCAAGUUUUCUGAGGAAUCUCCAUAAUGCUUUCCAGAGUGGUUGCACCAAUUUGCAGUCCCACCAGCAAU
rnacentral:pre_miRNA from 1 species